GACGAACGCUGGCGGCGUGCCUAAUACAUGCAAGUCGAACGAGAGCGCCCGGUGCUUGCCCUGGUCAAUCUAGUGGCGAACGGGUGAGUAACACGUGGGUAACCUGCCCAUCAGAGGGGGAUAACAUCCGGAAACGGAUGCUAAAACCGCAUAGGUCUUCGAACCGCAUGGUUUGAAGAGGAAAAGAGGCGCAAGCUUCUGCUGAUGGAUGGACCCGCGGUGCAUUAGCUAGUUGGUGAGGUAACGGCUCACCAAGGCCGUGAUGCAUAGCCGACCUGAGAGGGUGAUCGGCCACAUUGGGACUGAGACACGGCCCAAACUCCUACGGGAGGCAGCAGUAGGGAAUCUUCCGCAAUGGACGCAAGUCUGACGGAGCAACGCCGCGUGAGUGAAGAAGGUUUUCGGAUCGUAAAACUCUGUUGUUAGAGAAGAACAAGUGCUAGAGUAACUGUUAGCGCCUUGACGGUAUCUAACCAGAAAGCCACGGCUAACUACGUG
rnacentral:rRNA from 1 species